GUCACAAUGUACAGUAGUUCACUUUCCUUCCUUCCCUUCCUUUCCUUUUGUGGUGAAAAUGUUAAAGAAAAAAGCAAACAGUGAUAACUUUUGUGAUUUACAGGAGCAGGUGAGAACCUAGAAAACACUAUGGCAGCUUUCAAGCAUGCUGUGGCUUUGGGAACAGAUAUGCUGGAGCUCGACUGUCACCUUACUAAAGAUGGACAAGUGGUGGUUUCACACGAUGCCAACUUGAAGAGGGCGACCGGCUUCGAUGCUCCAAUCGCUGACUUCACAUAUGCUGAAUUGCCUCCAUAUCUUUGCAAGCUGGGUGUAACUUUUCAAAGAGGUGAGU